ACACUGAUGGUGAAACGGUAUCAUGCUUGCCUUCCAUUGGUAUUUCAUCGAACCUGUAGCAAGCGGCGCGGGUUCGACUCCCGCUCAGUGUA
rnacentral:tRNA from 1 species